AAAAGCACUUUGAAAAGAGAGUUAAAAAGUACGUGAAAUUGUUGAAAGGGAAGCGUUUAUGACCAGACUUGGACUUGGUUAAUCAUCUGGGGUUCUCCCCAGUGCACUUUUCCAGUUCAGGCCAGCAUCAGUUUUCGCCGGGGGAUAAAGGCUUCGGGAAUGUAGCUCUCUUCGGGGAGUGUUAUAGCCCGUUGUGUAAUACCCUGGUGGAGACUGAGGUUCGCGCUUCUGCAAGGAUGCUGGCGUAAUGGUCAUCAACGACCCGUCUUGAAACACGGACCAAGGAGUCGUCUUCGUAUGCGAGUGUUCGGGUGUCAAACCCCUACGCGUAAUGAAAGUGAACGCAGGUGAGAGCUUCGGCGCAUCAUCGACCGAUCCUGAUGUUCUCGGAUGGAUUUGAGUAAGAGCAUACGGGGCCGGACCCGAAAGAAGGUGAACUAUGCCUGUAUAGGGUGAAGCCAGAGGAAACUCUGGUGGAGGCUCGCAGCGGUUCUGACGUGCAAAUCGAUCGUCAAAUAUGGGCAUGGGGGCGAAAGACUAAUCGAACCUUCUAGUAGCUGGUUUCCGCCGAAGUUUCCCUCAGGAUAGCAGUGUUGAACUCAGUUUUAUGAGGUAAAGCGAAUGAUUAGGGACUCGGGGGCGCUAUAUUGCCUUCAUCCAUUCUCAAACUUUAAAUAUGUAAGAAGCCCUUGUUGCUUAAUUGAACGUGGGCAUUCGAAUGUAUCAACACUAGUGGGCCAUUUUUGGUAAGCAGAACUGGCGAUGCGGGAUGAACCGAACGCGAGGUUAAGGUGCCAGAGUAGACGCUCAUCAGACACCACAAAAGGUGUUAGUACAUCUUGACAGCAGGACGGUGGCCAUGGAAGUCGGAAUCCGCUAAGGACUGUGUAACAACCACCUGCCGAAUGUACUAGCCCUGAAAAUGGAUGGCGCUCAAGCGUCUCACCCAUACCUCGCCCUCAGGGUAGAAACGAUGCCCUGAGGAGUAGGCGGACGUGGAGGUCAGUG
rnacentral:rRNA from 1 species